AUUGAACGCUGGUGGCAGGCCUAACACAUGCAAGUCGAGCGGAUGAAGGGAGCUUGCUCCUGGAUUCAGCGGCGGACGGGUGAGUAAUGCCUAGGAAUCUGCCUGGUAGUGGGGGAUAACGUCCGGAAACGGGCGCUAAUACCGCAUACGUCCUGAGGGAGAAAGUGGGGGAUCUUCGGACCUCACGCUAUCAGAUGAGCCUAGGUCGGAUUAGCUAGUUGGUGGGGUAAAGGCCUACCAAGGCGACGAUCCGUAACUGGUCUGAGAGGAUGAUCAGCCACACUGGAACUGAGACACGGUCCAGACUCCUACGGGAGGCAGCAGUGGGGAAUAUUGGACAAUGGGCGAAAGCCUGAUCCAGCCAUGCCGCGUGUGUGAAGAAGGUCUUCGGAUUGUAAAGCACUUUAAGUUGGGAGGAAGGGCAGUAAGUUAAUACCUUGCUGUUUUGACGUUACCAACAGAAUAAGCACCGGCUAACUUCGUG
rnacentral:rRNA from 1 species